GUCCACGCCGUAAACGGUGGAUGCUGGAUGUGGGGCCCUUUCCACGGGUCCCGUGUCGGAGCCAACGCGUUAAGCAUCCCGCCUGGGGAGUACGGCCGCAAGGCUAAAACUCAAAGAAUUGACGGGGCCCGCACAAGCGGCGGAGCAUGCGGAUUAAUUCGAUGCAACGCGAAGAACCUUACCUGGGGCUUGACAUGUGCCGGAUCGCCGUGGAGACACGGUUUCCCUCGGGGCCGGUUCACAGGUGGUGCAUGGUUGUCGU
rnacentral:rRNA from 1 species